rnacentral:rRNA from 1 species
AUUGAACGCUGGCGGCAGGCCUAACACAUGCAAGUCGAACGAGUGGCGGACGGGUGAGUAAUGUCUGGGAAACUGCCUGAGGGAGGGGGAUAACUACCGGAAACGGUAGCUACUACCGCAUACCAUCAGAUCUGCCCAGGUAGGAUUAGUUUGUUGGUGGGGUAACGCCUCACCAAGGUGACGAUCCCUACCUGGUCUGAGAGGAUGACCAGCGACACUGGAACGGAGACACGGUACAGACUACUACGGGAGGCAGCAGGGGGGAAUAUGGGAAAAUGGGCGCAAGCCUGAUGCAGCCAUGCCGCGUGGAUGAAGAAGGCCUUCGGGUUGUAAAGUACUUUCAGCGGGGAGGCGUUACCCGCAGAAGAAGCACCGGCUAACUCCGUGCCAGCAGCCGCGGUAAUAC